GCACCCUGGUCGGGGUCAGCUCCUCCCGCCCUUCUGCCACCGCCGCCGACGUCUCCACCUGUCUGCCGGGAGCGCAGAGCCCAUCCCACCCACCAUUCCACCGCUCGAGACCUAGCAUCAUCAAGCUUCCCACGAAUUGCAGCGGAACAUCUCCACGGCCAACGAGGAGCCCAAAACGGCCGCCUGGCCGGCGCCGUUGCGCGGCGUCCCGCAGCUCAGGGCAUUCCGGUAAUCGGUGACAUGGAUCGCUGCACCAAAUGGAAUCCUUGUGUUCUGUUCUAGAGAGGAAAUCGUUUGCUCUGUGCAGGGCUCCACCGUGUUUGCCCAUCUCAGAUGAGCGCAAGGUGUUCGUGGGAAUGUUUCUCAAGUCGGUCUCAUUGGAAUUCUGAACGGACAAGGAUCAUGCGUUGCCAAUUUGCCAUGUUGAGGUGAUGUACACUCUGGAACAGAUGUAGAUUUCUGCAUCAUUUCUUUGUGGCACGUUUUGCUCCCCGGUGGAUUGCUUCAUUGACAAGAAUACCGUAUGCAUGCACCACUGAACAAAUUGGGACUGUGGUCUUACGGUCAUGUAUAGGAAUAUGGUACAACAAGUCUACCAGCCUGCUGGCAGCUUGUUCAAUGGGUCCUAGAUGAUCACUGAGCCAACGCUAAACCGAAACGGUGGCAGAAUGUUUUUCUUUUUUUAUGAGAGUGGCACAAUAUUAUUCAGGGCUAUGAUAUGACAGGUGCAUUUUAAAAUUCGAAUCAUUCUGAUAUUCUAAUCAGAACACUGUACAUUGACAGUCUUGCAUUCUGACAUGAUCGGUACUCCGCUGAAAAAGAAGGAAGGGUGCAUUUUCUGGUACGCGGCAGCAAGCCACCUGAUCUGUAAUUUUUUAACAUGAGAACCAACAAAACAGGUUCCAUUGUUAAUCAAUUUUUCUAUGGCAUGUCGCCUUCAGUGUGAGGAAUCAAUAAUCCAGGUUCAAACACAAGGAACUAAAUUUCCAUCUCAUUUUACCUAGUGGUAGUUGAAAUAUCAAGGUCGAGCUCAUCAGAAAUGCUGCAUGCCAGAAAAUAGAGUACCUAAUGGUUCAAUGUUUCUGUUGUACUGCAAACCAACAACAGGGAGGUCUUGGUUUUUAAAAUUAAGACCUGGAGCAAGAUGGUAACUAUGGUCAGGUCACAGGUCAGCCUUUUUUAUGGAUUGGAUCCUCAACUUGCUCAUAUUACAACAUGCAUUAGUUGGAAGUUGGAACUCAGGAGAGCUAUGCCCUUACAUCCUCGGCGUGCUAUCUGAAGGCUUUGCUGAGCAGAGUGAAGGAUUGUCAAAGUAAAGCUAAGGACUGCCAUAAUAGGGGAGAAAAGUAAGAAGGUGAGAGAUGGCGCUAUGUGGGAUGGCUGCCAACAUAACACAGCUCCUAGGGGUGGACGUAUUUGGGCUUGAUCAGUAUGAUCGAGAAGGCUGCGCGGACGGCCAGCCAGAAUAAGGAGGCAUGCAGAAAGAUCACUGAGCGUGCAUCGAUGAUCAAGAAUCGGCUGGAACAGUUACAACAAGUCUCAAGAUCCUUUGAGCACCCGGAGAUGUGGAAGCCAAUGAAGGUGCUUAAGAUGACCCUCCACAGAGCAUACAGAUUCAUCAUAGGCUAUCAUCAUAGCAGCUACAUCUACAAGUUCUGUUGUGGCUCUGAUCUCGCCAACGAGUUUGAGUCAGUGCAGAAGGAUAUGGAUCUCUGGAAUCAGCAUCUGACUGAUUUAAAAAUGGACAUCCUGUUCAAAUUCACAGUUGUUGACAUGCGGAGCUUACAUGGAAAUAGCAAUACCAUCAAGCAGGAUUGUGCUCAUGUACCUUCUGCAGGGUCGCCAGCUAGUCAUUUCAACAACAAUAACAGGUGCAAUGUUGCAACAUUUCUUUUAACUUCAUCAAGAAUUAGCCUAGGAUUGUGGAGGUAGUUUUAUAAACUACCUUCGUUUAAUACCUCUAAUUAGUGAUCUAAUUAGUGGUCAAAUGUGUAAACAGUUCCGGACUAAUUUUUUUCCCACCAAAACAAAACACGGCCUCCCCUGACCCAUUCGUCCAUUGUUAAAGGGUAGAAACGCUUCCCCUAUCCAAUUUAUUGCCCCGACUGACCUGUA